ACCCGCUGAACUUAAGCAUAUCAAUAAGCGGAGGAAAAGAAACCAACAGGGAUUGCCUCAGUAACGGCGAGUGAAGCGGCAAGAGCUCAAAUUUGAAAGCUGGCCCCCUCGGGGUCCGCGUUGUAAUUUGCAGAGGAUGCUUCGGGUGCAGCCCCCGUCUAAGUGCCCUGGAACGGGCCGUCAUAGAGGGUGAGAAUCCCGUCUGGGACGGGGUGUCUGCGUCCGUGUGAAGCUCCUUCGACGAGUCGAGUUGUUUGGGAAUGCAGCUCUAAAUGGGUGGUAAAUUUCAUCUAAAGCUAAAUACUGGCCGGAGACCGAUAGCGCACAAGUAGAGUGAUCGAAAGAUGAAAAGCACUUUGAAAAGAGAGUUAAACAGCACGUGAAAUUGUUGAAAGGGAAGCGUUUGCGACCAGACUCGCCCGCGGGGUUCAGCCGGCAUUCGUGCCGGUGUACUUCCCCGUGGGCGGGCCAGCGUCGGUUUGGGCGGCCGGUCAAAGGCCCUCGGAAUGUAUCACCCCUCGGGGUGUCUUAUAGCCGAGGGUGCAAUGCGGCCUGCCCGGACCGAGGAACGCGCUUCGGCUCGGACGCUGGCGUAAUGGUCGUAAAUGACCCGUCUUGAAACACGG
rnacentral:rRNA from 1 species